UCCAUUGUGCCAUGCUUCAAAGUAUGUUUUGAUAAACUGGGCUGCGUCACCUUUAGAUUAAGAUACGAUAAAUACUGAGAGAACCGAUCUCGAAUGUCUAGGUAAAACAAGGUAGCCGAUCAUAUUUAGCCUUGGGUAUGCGCUCUACCACUUCUAAGGAAAAUUCUGGACGAGAAACGAGAACUGAUAAUAUCACUGCAUAUAAAUAUCGUAAUUCGAUCUGUACGGGUAUACCAAGUAGACGAGCGGGAAGCGAAUAGUCAACAUGAAAACAAUCAUUUCUUUCUUUUUUGCCAUGCUGGUGGCUCUGUUAAUGGCACAGAGCGUAGUUUCCGAACAAAAUCAAAAACCCGAUGUGUUCGAUAUCCAGUAUCCAGAGGUAUUCCGGCAUGUGGCCGACGAAGCGGAUAGUGACGUCAUGUCCGCCGCUCGAUCUUGCACCAACCACAUCUGUCAUCGUUUAUGUGUGGCGUUGUACUACAGAACUGGACGGUGCAUCUCUAGCACUGUCUGUCGUUGCACUCGUUAAAAGGCACACUAGUUAACAACCUUAUGGAAGAUGUUUUUUUUUUUUAAGAAUCGUACAAAGUGACUGAAAUUCUAACAAGUGAUAAUGUCAAGUUUUAUUAAUAUAAGACCCACUAUAAAAUUA